rnacentral:lncRNA from 1 species
UUGUAUCAGCUUUGUCGCUUAAAAUUCUAUCUUCUUUGUGAUAAAAGAUUGCGCUUGUAUUCACUAUAAAGAACUUUUCAAGUUUUACCAAACAAAAUAUCCAAUUGGUUAAGUUGAAAAUUUCAUUCUUCUUUGAUACUCAGGCUUUGCAAGUGGUCUUUAUUGGGUUGGACGUGCUCUUAAAACCUUUGUUUUUGCUUUUUGCUAAUAGGUGGUGGUUUUGGUUUCAAUUCCCUUAUUUUUAUGUUGUUUCUAUGUUUGGAGUUUUCGUCGAUCUAUUUUAAGGUUGUUUUUAGGUUUAAACAUCUUUUUGGUCCCUAAGUUAUGAGCGGAUGUUCAGUUUAGUCCCCGU